GGUGUUUGCCCUAUGCCUGGGCGCUCCACGAUAGUCACCUGGGGCGCGUCGACUGGGCCUCGCUUGGUCUCCACCGUCUGGCGAAAGGUGGGCCCCGUCUGGCGGAAAACGUGUCGCUCUUGUUUCUCUCACACAGCCCUCGCAUCCUCCGAAACCCUACCCUCUCGCAUCACAUUUUUUGGCGGCGGCGGCUCCCCACGCGCUCCUCUUCCCCACGCGGUCUGAUGCGGGAGGUGCUACGCCCGGCAUGGUCAUUGGCGGACGGAGCUCUAGAGGCAGCGGUAGCUCGACAUCGACGGCGACGGCGGCCGGACAUCUUUUUCUUGAACAGGGAAGAAGGACGCGACCGAACUUAGAGAACGACCGGCGGAGAGAACAUGCUCCAUCCCAUGACCCGUGCCGCCGCUCCAACCACUGCUUCGGCAACUGCUGCUGGUUCAUGUACUUGACCGGGCCGCUGCAGCUCCAACCCAUGAAAACAAGGUUGAGAUGACCUACAUGACAAUCAGGCCUGCCAUGACAAUCUGAUUUUUUAACAUGUGGUGGAGCAAGGAGGAACAAUCAGCAGAUCUAGCAUUUAUUUUGCUCAAGCUACAUGUUAUUACUAUAAUAAACAGUGUGCCUUCAUUCAACAGGCUAUCAUGGAGCUCUUAUUGGGCACGUUACAGCUAGAUGAUGACAAAUUGGAUCCUGCUCAACAACACCCCAUUGUAUAGAGGUUUUUUCACGGCAAGAGCAUUUGUGUAUUUUGAAAUGCUUGGUCAUGACCUGUAUGUGCUAGAGAAAGAAUGGCUUCACAGGUUUACGACAAAACUUUGACAGGUUAGGUCUCAUUUCCAGAUGAUGUUAAAUUCCGUAUGUAUAUGUCACCAACUUACGAUAUUAUAUCCAUGGCGCACUCUGUUUAGAUAUUAGUGUAUUGGUUGUCCAUGAAGAUGUAGGCAUUGUUCACAGAAGCUAAAACCAAAAUUAUCCCGUGAUUCCAAAGUGAGUUUCUUCCCCUCAAAAUAAGCACUUUCUAUGAUUACCAUUAGUAUGCUAUUACUUCUGGCUAUGGUUAUGCUUGAUGGGUGAGGUGCUCAUCAUUUAUUUGGUUUUAAUUGGUUGUAACAAUCAGUCGAUGAUAUUAUGCAUCACCAUCAAGUUUCUGGCUUAUUGAAAUAUGCUUCAUGUAGUUAUCAUUGUUCCUAUAGUUGCUCUUGAUUUCUUGAACCAUCAUGUUCUGGUGUGGUACUGGUAUGUUCGUGUUUUCCCAUAACACAUAGUUUCCUUCGUGCGGGAUUUUCCUCUAUUACCACUUGCCAUUUCUCAUAGAAAUAAAUUCAAGGUUGAUGCAUUCCGUGUCAAUUAAGCACCAUCUUUUCCUCUUUUUGAGAUAAUUGGCUUGUUUGGUAGUCCUACUCUUGAGCGCUACUGAUGGUUAGAAGUGAUCUGUACAUACAGAAUGGUUCGAAUGGUUAGGUAAAUAUCGUGUUGUUGGUUAGAAUCAUGGGCAUAUGAAUAAAAAUUGUUGUUUCGGAAAUGAUACGUCUUUUUAUCCUAUAUGGUGAUUCUUUUUACGAGAUUAUGUUGAUCCUUUGGUUGGGUUAGUUUCUUCGGUUCCCUGUGGUUCAGCCAGUCUGCAUAGUGUUGACCAUGGCUACAGUAGCUGAAGGGUCUUAUUAUCUAAAGAUGGCUUUCAAAAAAACCCAGUAGACUUCUUGGGCAAAUAUCUUUUUUGGCAGCUUGAGUUGUUCCAGGCUGCGGGGUUUCUCAUGGCUUACUUGUAGGUACAAUUUUGCUCCAUCGUGUUGUAUGGCUCAAGUUGGACGCUUAGCCUGGUUACCAUUUUGUUUGUGCACCAAAUUGUAGCUCCAUUUUGGUCUUCUUGUAUCUUGAAUGACUGACAAACUUAUACCCGGCAGAUAUAUGCACUUGACAGUGUAAGCUGAGAUCUUACCAGUCGCUAUAGUCUGGGUCCUAGAAGUUUUACAUGUAUUCUAAUUUAUUUUGGAUUAUUAGUUUUUAAGUGCUAAGAUUACGUACUAAAUAUCACUAGCGUUUUCUCUUCUCAAGUUACAUAUAUAGUUGAAUAUAGAAGUGGUUAUUCUGCAGAUCAGCAAUAUAGUGGUUCUUCAUGAAUAUGAGUUUCUCACAAGCAGUGUGAAUUAACUACUGGUGUCGUAGCAUUUUGUGUAGGAUUAUAGGUACAAUGGUUCAUGUUCUACAUAAAUUAGCAUUUUGUGUAGCAUUUUUUCAUAUUGUUCAUGAAUAUGAGUUUCUCACAAGCAGGGUGAGUUCCUCACAAUGCCCACUGGUUCCAUACUUCGUAUUUCCUGUCUCCAUCAAAUUUAUGUAUAUCUUUCUCUGAAUUCAAUCUCUGUUUGCCUAUAUUGUUGACUCUAUAGAUACAGUAUACAUACAUGAUUGUUCAGUUUUACCUAUUUAAUAUACUGUUGGAAAUCAUGGAUCUAAAUAAAGGUUACAUUGGGGAUUGAUCAUUUGUAGAAUGCUUCCACUGAGAUAUGUGACUAGAUAUUUACUUGUGGUUUUGUUGUUAAUGAAAAGUAAUCGAUAUAACAAACUUGCAUUCAUUCUUCAGUUGGAUAGGCUGGAAGGUUGGAAAGUGUGAUUGGAUGGUAUCACUCACACCUUGGUUAUGGAUGAUGGUUGGCAUACAUGCUAGACGACAGUCGGAGCGAGGCAAACUGCAUACUGGAAAACAACCGGAGCAAGGCCACGAGGACUAGGCUAACUGCCAUGGACCACAAUCAGGACAGCACCGCCGCCAAGCAGCCACUGACACACGCUGAAGCAUCUCUGCAGUACACAGCAAUUGCCUGCGAAGCAUGAGAUAUUUGAGCUAACAAAUGGUUAAUUGAUUUCAGCGCAUAGGGUGGCCAUUGGUGAGGGCAUACAGGACAGGAGGAACACCUUCCAUGCAGCAGUAGCAGCCAAGAAGGCUGAGAAGCUAUUUCUGAAGGUGAGGAUUGAUGGGGUGCCAUACAUUAGUAAGGUCGCCCUCCGGAUGUACAAGGGGUAUAGGGAGCUUAGAGAGGCGCUAGAUUUGCUCUUCUCUGCCCAGUCCUUCUGACCAGCUCGUCGUUGCUUGCUUGUGGAAAAUGUGCCAUGUGAAUUUUGCCAAGUUAAUGAUAUUUGGAGACAUGAGCUCUAUAAGAACGUAGGAACUCAAAGUCCAUGGUUAAGCUGUACUUGCUUCCAGAAAUCUUCAAUCAAUUCAAAAAUCACAUUCGAAGCAAAGCACCAAGGUCAAUUGAUGACUCCCAUCAGAUAAAGUCAAGAUAUUGAGCUAAGGAUCGAACCAUGCAUUGGUCAAAUUCCCUAAUAUUUGUUCAGAUUGUAUGAUUGUGUGGAUCUACCAUUUGUAAUAAUGUAUUAUAUUCCACAUCGGUGGGACUACCUUCUUACAAGUAUGCGAGAUGCAUGUAUCUGUGCUCUGAUGUAAUCUUGGAUCCUAUAUAAAUGCAAUUACAACUAUUUUUA